rnacentral:rRNA from 1 species
AAAUUCUAUAAAGAGGUUGAGUGCCUAAUGAAGGUCAAGCACAAAAACAUAGUGCGUUUCCUGGGAUAUUGUUCCGACACGCAAGGGAGAGCUGCAAAUUGCGAAGGGAAAUUUGUCAUGGCAGAGCUGCGAAAUUGGUUGCUAUGUUUUGAGUAUGUAGCGAACGGAAGCCUCGAUAAGUAUGUUUCUGAUGCAUCUCAUGGACUUGAAUGGAGGGAGCGCUACGAUAUUAUCAAGGGAAUAUGUGAGGGCUUACUUCAUCUUCAUGAGGAACGCAUUCUCCACUUAGACCUGAAGCCUGGUAAUAUAUUGGUAGAUGAUCACAUGGUACCCAAAAUUGCUGAUUUUGGUCUAUCAAGGUGCCUUGAUAAAGAGAGAACCCGGGCUUCUACUUUAAACCCAUGUGGAUCAAUGGGAUAUUUGGCACCAGAAUCUUUCGGAAGGAAAUUCACAUUCGCGUCGGACAUAUACGGUCUUGGCGUUAUCAUCCUGGAAAUACUGACCGGAGAGAAGGGGUAUCCAGAACAUGAGGAUGUGGUUAAGACUUGGAUGAAUAGGUUGGAGGGAUCAGAUCAA